CCGCCCGUCACACCACGAGAGUUUACAACACCCGAAGUCGGUGGGGUAACCCCGAUGCAAACUUGUUUGCGUCCAGGGGGGCCAGCCGCCGAAGGUGGGGUAGAUGAUUGGGGUG
rnacentral:rRNA from 1 species